rnacentral:snoRNA from 1 species
ACAGUUGUGAUCCUUAACAUGUCAGAAGAUUCAUUCAAAAGGUUGAAUCUUCAAUGAGAUAUACUUGUUACGCUUGGCUUCUGAGCUGC